UUGACCUUCAAAGGAAUGACCUUGAAAUGUCCAGUGGUUACUUACUAGUUCUGGCCAACCUUCAUGUCAAGUUUCAAGACUCUAGGUCCAAGCAUACCAAAGUUAUAACAACUUUAACAUUUUUAUAUUGAAGGUCACAGUGACCUUCACCUUCAAAUGAAUGACCUUGAAAUGACCAGUGGUCAUCUGUUAAUCCUGGCCAACCUUCAUGUCAAGUUUGAAGACUCUAGGUCCAAGCAUACCAAAGUUAUACCAUGAAAUAAGAACUUUAACAUUUUUACAUUCAAGGUCACAGUGACCUUGACCUUCAAAUGAAUGACCUUGAAAUGACCAGUGGUUACUAACUAGUUAUGGCCAACCUUCAUGUCAA